rnacentral:rRNA from 1 species
UACGAAGGGGGCGAGCGUUGUUCGGAUUUACUGGGCGUAAAGGGCGCGCAGGCGGCUCAUUUUGUCAGGCGUGAAAGCCCCGGGCUUAACCUGGGAACUGCGUUUGAUACGGAUGGGCUAGAGAUCGGGAGAGGAGAGUGGAAUUCCCAGUGUAGAGGUGAAAUUCGUAGAUAUUGGGAAGAACACCCGUGGCGAAGGCGGCCCUCUGGCUCGACCCUGACGCUGAGAGGCGAAAGCGUGGGGAGCGAACGGG